rnacentral:rRNA from 1 species
UACGGAGGAUGCGAGCGUUAUCCGGAUUUAUUGGGUUUAAAGGGUGCGUAGGCGGGAUGCCAAGUCAGCGGUAAAAAUGCGGUGCUCAACACCGUCGAGCCGUUGAAACUGGCGUUCUUGAGUGGGCGAGAAGUAUGCGGAAUGCGUGGUGUAGCGGUGAAAUGCAUAGAUAUCACGCAGAACUCCGAUUGCGAAGGCGGCAUACCGGCGCCCUACUGACGCUGAGGCACGAAAGCGUGGGUAUCGAACAGG